GGGUGGGGCCGACCGGAGGGCCUCACUAAACCACCGAAUACGGAGUAGCGGGAGGCAGUGUGGACACAGGUGACGGCCCCCGCUUCCAUCCUCAAGGCUCCACGUGCCCCACUCCCAAAGCUGUGCACUCCAUGGAAGACGAAGACAGAGGAGGGCCGGUCUUUGGUCAAUGGUAUAUCAAUGCUGCGCUCCCCUGCUAGAACGCACUGCCAAGCAAGCUUUGACACUGCCUGCCACCCACCUCCCCUUAUUCACAGCCACCAAUACAUCCUGUUCAUGUAAAACAAAGCAAAUUUUUUUUUCCUUU
ensembl:misc_RNA 7SK 7SK RNA